GAUCACCCACGCAAUAACUACAUCAGCACAAAGACUUCUUCACACGUCUGAGCAUAAGCUUUUCCAUUAUAAUAGUCCAAGUGCCAUAUAGCUAUGCCCUGCACACAAAUGCGAUGGCCGCUGUUUUGACUGGUAAUAGACCAUGUGAUCCAACUGGCUCUAAAGAAUGAACUACUAGUCUGACGAACAGACAGAGAAGCCAAGACGCAACAGCCAACAGUGACUGAAGUUUCCUCGCCUACAGGAUUCUUGCACGAGAUUCCCACUGGAAAGCCACUGCUUUUGACAUCCAGAAAAACAGAGAGGCCAGGACGCAGGCAGAGCAAGGGAAAUCCCAUGGGGUAGAGAGAAGGAGAGAGAAGUUUGGGAUGCUAUAAAUAAAAGGACGAUGAUGUCCCACCUCACGUGGUGAUGAGUCAGGGGCGGCGCGG
rnacentral:lncRNA from 1 species